rnacentral:rRNA from 2 species
AGCAUAGCGAUUUGGGAUAAGUCCCUUGGAAAAGGGCAGCAUGGAGGGUGAUACUCCCGUCUCUGCUCGGAUUGUCUGUGUGUACGAUACGCUUUCUUUGAGUCGAGUUGUUUGGGAAUACAGCUCAAAGUAGGUGGUAAAUUCCAUCUAAAGCUAAAUAUUGGUGCGAGACCGAUAGCGAACAAGUACCGUGAGGGAAAGAUGAAAAGAACUUUGAAAAGAGAGUUAAAGAGUACCUGAAACUGUUGAAAGGGAACCGUAUCGCUUCCAGUGUUUUAUCCUGUGCAUAUUUCAUUAGCGGAGCAAUUUGCUGGUGCCCUGUGCAUGGGUGUGACGUCAGAGUCAGUUUGUAUGCUGCGGGAGAUGGUCAGUGAGGAGGUGCGUCACUUCGGUGAAAGUUAUAUCUCGCUGUCUAGUAGCCGUGGUUGAGACUGAGGUGCC